rnacentral:rRNA from 1 species
GACAGAGGUGCCGAGCGUUAGGCGGAAUCACUGGGCUUAAAGCGUGUGUAGGCGGAUUGGUAAGUACCUUGUGAAAUCCCACGGCUUAACCGUGGAACUGCUUGGUAUACUGCUUAUCUUGGGCCACUUAGGGGCUACCGGAACAAACGGUGGAGCGGUGAAAUGCGUAGAUAUCUGAAGGAACAUCAGUGGCGAAAGCGACUUCCUGGACCAAUACUGACGCUCAUGUGCGAAAGCGUGGGGAGCAAACAGG